rnacentral:rRNA from 1 species
ACCGGUGUAAUGGAAACGAAUGAAGUCGACGUAUCUGUUGGGUAUUCAGCCGGUUGCCGGCCGCAAUUGGGGUGUGUGCGUUUUCGCAAGAUGCGCCACGUUUCAUUGGUUGCGGGUGGUGGCCGGUGUACUUGCCCAAGGAGUGCGCCGAGUUGUGUGGCUUUGCCGAAUGAAGCGCGCAUAGAGGGCCGCGUCCUUGUGGCGCGGUAACCUGUGCGUGUCGAGUUUGGUUGAGGCUGCGCAGCUUUGUGGAAGACGUGGGUUUUUCGCGUGCAGCCGCGCCGGUCGCUCGUGUUCGUGUGUUGCACAUGUGUAGCGCGCUUAUGCGGGCGGUCGGUGUUGUUGUGUGCACCGCGCUCUUCUCGGCGUGCAGUCGAUCACCCAUUCGACCCGUCUUGAAACACGGACCAAGGAGUUUAUGGUAUGCGCGAGUUAUUGAGUUUCAACGAAGCUCAUCGGCACAAUGAAAGUGAGACAUUUGUUGUAUUCAACGUGAUUGGGUGCGGCAUUCGUGCGGCCCAAGCAACGUUGCCCCGUUUCAAGGACUUGUCCUGUUGCGGAGGUUGAGCGUAUGCUAUGAGACCCGAAAGAUGGUGAACUAUGCCUGAACAGGACGAAGCCAGAGGAAACUCUGGUGGAAGUCCGAAGCGGUUCUGACGUGCAAAUCGAUCGUCUGAUUUUGGUAUA